AGACCGGCUCCCCGAGCCCGGUCGCCAUGGAGCCGGCGCCCCGCGCGGGGUCCUAGACGCUGCGAUCGACUGAAGUGCGUCGCGGGGCCGCGACCCUCUGUUCUUCUGCGCCGCCCGGCGGAGAAGGACCGGCAGGAAAAGUCAUACAGCACGCUGAGUCAUCUGGACACUUCUUCAUCCUGUCCUCCAUCAUCCUGUGGAAGGGUGUCAUACUUCUUCAUCCUGUCCUCCAUCAUCCUGCUCCCUCCCCACCUCCAACACAGCAGCCUAUGCCACCUGCUGCCUGGGUCAUGCCCUUGACACUCACUAGGGAUGAAUAUGAGAAGUGGGGCAUGGUCGUGAUCAAAAUGCAUGGUAUGCGUGUUUUACAUUCUCAAAGAAUCAAUAAAAGUUCAUAGUAAAAUAUA